CAUCGAGCUACAGCUAUGGGCCAGGCUCGGGCUGCAGGUGUUCGUCCUCGUGGCCCUUCCUGGCUGGCGAGGAGAAGAGCUGCCUAUGGGACAGAGCUGCGGUCCUGAGCUGCAGUAGCGCCUGGGAGGCACUACAGGGCAGCUGACACCCUAGCUGUACGCCAGAAGCGGCGGAUUUACGACAUUACCAAUGUUUUGGAAGGUAUCGGGCUAAUCGAGAAAAAGUCCAAGAACAGCAUCCAGUGGAAGUGAGUGGGCAUAGUGGGAGGGUAGUAGAGUCUCCCACCCAGAAGUGUCGGGCGUGGGGUGGAGGGUGCCGAAGAAGGCAGGGGCCAUGGGACCCAGAGUUCUCAGCAGUCCCUCUCAGCCCCACUCCCUGGGCUCAGGGGUGUGGGGCCUGGCUGCAAUACCCGGGAGAUUGCUGACAAACUGAUUGAG
rnacentral:lncRNA from 1 species